rnacentral:rRNA from 1 species
UAGUUGGUGAGGUAAUGGCUCACCAAGGCUAUGAUCGUUAGCUGGUCUGAGAGGAUGGCCAGCCACACUGGAACUGAGACACGGUCCAGACUCCUACGGGAGGCAGCAGUGGGGAAUCUUGCACAAUGGGCGAAAGCCUGAUGCAGCGACGCCGCGUGGGGGAUGAAGCUUUUCGGAGUGUAAACCCCUUUCGACCCGGACGAAUGCCCCGCAAGGGGACUGACGGUACGGGUAUAAGAAGCCCCGGCUAACUACGUGCCAGCAGCCGCGGUAAGACGUAGGGGGCCAGCGUUGCUCGGAAUUACUGGGUGUAAAGGGUUCGUAGGCGGUGUGGCAAGUCGGGAGUGAAAUCUCUGGGCUCAACCCAGAGGCUGCUUCCGAAACUGCCGUGCUUGAGUGUGGGAGAGGCGCGUGGAAUUGCAGGUGUAGCGGUGAAAUGCGUAGAUAUCUGCAGGAACACCCGUGGCGAAAGCGGCGCGCUGGACCACAACUGACGCUGAGGAACGAAAGCUAGGGGAGCAAACAGGAUUAGAUACCCUGGUAGUCCUAGCCCUAAACGAUCAGGACUUGGGGUGCCGCACGUUCGUGCGUCGUCCCGGAGCUAACGCGUUAAGUCCUGCACCUGGGGAGUACGGUCGCAAGACUGAAACUCAAAGGAAUUGACG